GUUCAAAGUAAUCACAUGCGUGUGAAAUAAUAUGUAAUCGUAUGUAGUGGGCAUUUUUUAUAUCUUUUAGAUUCCGAGUGUAGCGAGGGAACAAUUUGUUUUACAAUUGCUCCGAUAUAUAAGUGGAGCACCUUUCCCGAAAGCUCAAGUUCUCUGGAUGGUACAUUAAAUCGGUCAUUUUUUGAUUUUCGACGCCAUUUUUUAAAUGAAAGCACAUGAGUGGGAAAAUGUAUAAUUUCACGAUUUCAUUAUUUUAUAAAAACACGGACGUUUUCCACUAGAAAAAAAGAUUCGAUUGAAAAAUCACAAAAUAACUUUUUCAUCGCCUUUUUGAUUUUAUUUUUUACGAUAUUAUUGCCAAAACUAUUAAUCAACUUUUGAACUUUUAAAAAAUUU